UACAGAGGUCUCAAGCGUUGUUCGGAUUCAUUGGGCGUAAAGGGUGCGUAGGCGGCGCGGUAAGUCGGGUGUGAAAUCUCGGAGCUUAACUCCGAAACUGCAUUCGAUACUGCCGUGCUUGAGGACUGGAGAGGAGACUGGAAUUUACGGUGUAGCGGUGAAAUGCGUAGAUAUCAGGAGGAACACCUAAGGCGAAGGCAGCUCGCUGGAACGGUACUGACGCUGAGGCGCGAAAGCGUGGGGAGCAAACAGG
rnacentral:rRNA from 1 species